GACGAACGCUGGCGGCGUGCCUAAUACAUGCAAGUAGAACGCUGAAGCUUGGUGCUUGCCCCGAGCGGAUGAGUUGCGAACGGGUGAGUAACGCGUAGGUAACCUGCCUGGUAGCGGGGGAUAACUAUUGGAAACGAUAGCUAAUACCGCAUAAGAGUAGAUGUUGCAUGACAUUUGCUUAAAAGGUGCAAUUGCAUCACUACCAGAUGGACCUGCGUUGUAUUAGCUAGUUGGUGAGGUAACGGCUCACCAAGGCAACGAUACAUAGCCGACCUGAGAGGGUGAUCGGCCACACUGGGACUGAGACACGGCCCAGACUCCUACGGGAGGCAGCAGUAGGGAAUCUUCGGCAAUGGACGGAAGUCUGACCGAGCAACGCCGCGGGAGUGAAGAAGGUUUUCGGAUCGUAAAGCUCUGUUGUAAGAGAAGAACGAGUGUGAGAGUGGAAAGUUCACACUGUGACGGUAGCUUACCAGAAAGGGACGGCUAACUACGUG
rnacentral:rRNA from 1 species